rnacentral:tRNA from 1 species
GCUUCUGUAGCUCAGUGGUAGAGCGGCUGCCUUGUAAGCAGCAGGUCGGGGGUUCAAAUCCCUCCAGGAGCU